rnacentral:rRNA from 2 species
AAACCAACAGGGAUUGCCCCAGUAACGGCGAGUGAAGCGGCAAGAGCUCAAAUUUGAAAGCUGGCUCCUUCGGGGUCCGCAUUGUAAUUUGUAGAGGAUGCUUCGGGAGCGGUCCCCAUCUAAGUGCCCUGGAACGGGACGUCAUAGAGGGUGAGAAUCCCGUAUGGGAUGGGGUGUCCGCGCCCGUGUGAAGCUCCUUCGACGAGUCGAGUUGUUUGGGAAUGCAGCUCUAAAUGGGUGGUAAAUUUCAUCUAAAGCUAAAUAUUGGCCGGAGACCGAUAGCGCACAAGUAGAGUGAUCGAAAGAUGAAAAGCACUUUGAAAAGAGAGUUAAAAAGCACGUGAAAUUGUUGAAAGGGAAGCGCUUGCGACCAGACUCGCUCGCGGGGUUCAGCCGGCAUUCGUGCCGGUGUAUUUCCCCGCGGGCGGGCCAGCGUCGGUUUGGGCGGUCGGUCAAAGGCCCUCGGAAGGUAACGCCCCUCGGGGCGUCUUAUAGCCGAGGGUGCAAUGCGACCUGCCCGGACCGAGGAACGCGCUUCGGCUCGGACGCUGGCAUAAUGGUCGUAAGCGAC